rnacentral:lncRNA from 1 species
UAACUCUUGAGUCCAGAUUUUGACAAAAUCUUGAUGUCCAUUUGCAGGAAUACUGUGCAGAAAUUUUUUGUGCUUCUGUAAUGUUGAGUAUGAACUACAAAUUAGUUAUAUAGUCAAGUGAGACAAGUCGGUUGAAGACUUGUCAAUACUAUGACAUGUCGGUUUGAGUCCUUGAGACGGCUAUACGACAAAUAUAUUUUGUCAUCUGUGUGUGCAAGGAAGACAUGUGACUUCGCAUGUGAUUCACUUAAACGAGAUGACAGCUUGAGCUGCCGUUUCAUCACUUAGAAUAAACAAGAUGAAGACACGUGGCCAGGAGAAGUCAGUUAAGGCUGUUAACCAGCGCGGGAAGCUGCUGGACUUUGUCACUGAACACAGGGGAAGCAUGCUGGUGAUUGGGAGACCUUUUCUGAUCGAGCAUUGCUUAUAUAUAUUGUUGAUGCGAGAUUCCGGUUCUCCUCGUUCCACGACCAGGAUCUCUGCUCGAUCAACUUCACCACGACCAGGAGGUCUCCUAGUAAUGCUUCUUCUCCAGAUGUCCCUGCACAAACAGACAAGUCAGAGUACGCCGGUUGUUCCCCCGGCGCAAACCCUCCGACGCUCAAGUCAGAUAUGAAGGUUCAGGGAACGCUUGCCACAGGUCUUAUGGCCUUUUCGUGGUUUUUCCUUCUAUCUCAAAAAUGCCAACCCUUUUACCUUCGUUGGCUGCCUUUUUAUAGGCUUCCUCUGAAUCUCAGUCUUCCGCUCUUUUCGAGACGGUAUGGGACUCCAACUGCGGCGUUAUGGGCAAACGUGGGAUCUAGCGUGUUACGCCACGGUUCAGGGGAAAGCGUGGCUGUCAUGGUUCUGUGAGAUCUUGCGUGUUACGCCAAGGUUCUGGGGAAAGCGUGGCUGUCACGGUUCUGUGAGAUCUUGCGUGUUACGCCAAGGUUCUGGGGAAAGCGUGGCUGUCAUGCCUAGAUUCUCGUGCUGGAGAGCACGUCUUGCCAACUGUCGUCGACCGGGUCUGCUCGCCUCUUGACCUCUAGCCGGAAUGGCCUUUUGCCUUUUAUAGGAAAUUGGCCUCGCGAAUGACAACAUCGUGGACGAGCAGGAUAAUUCUGCUCUUGUUCUUCCGCGCACCAGGCUUUUACGGAACACACCGGUUCGCAGAACUCCGCCAUCAGAUAUCUGCUCGUCAUUCCUGGUCUCAUCGACGUAUUUAUCCCAAACAGUAUCUCUCCCAAACAUAUAUAGCUCGGUACCUUGGAAUACUGAUAUGUGUGUUAGUUGUAAUCUUCUCUAAAGAACUUGUACUCUGUAGACACUCAUUCAAUAAGCUUGGAUUCACCUUUUUCACAGUGGACGUGGGCUUCCAUAGCCGAACCACUAUAAGUUUCCUCUGUGUUGUUCUUUCUGUUCUUUGAUUCUUUCUUUGAUUUGCUUUGGUUGUUAAGAUUGUUUAAGCGUUCAUUCAACUGAGUACUAAUCAUCUACAAUUUUAGAUACAAGAACCUUUCUUGAGUGGAUCUUGGUGAGCCAUUAUCAGUUCUCGACAUGUAAUACAUUUUUGAGAAAGAGAAUAACACAUAUAAGUUAAGAAUAGAGUGAGAAGAAAUGAGAAAUGAUCCUCUUUUUGUCUAAAAUAUUUUUUAC